AACGAACGCUGGCGGCAUGCCUAACACAUGCAAGUCGAACGAGACCUUCGGGUCUAGUGGCGCACGGGUGCGUAACGCGUGGGAACCUGCCCUUAGGUUCGGAAUAACUCCCCGAAAGGGGUGCUAAUACCGGAUAAUGUCUUCGGACCAAAGAUUUAUCGCCUUUGGAUGGGCCCGCGUUGGAUUAGCUAGUUGGUAGGGUAAAAGCCUACCAAGGCGACGAUCCAUAGCUGGUCUGAGGGGAUGAUCAGCCACACUGGGACUGAGACACGACCCAGACUCCUACGGGAGGCAGCAGUGGGGAAUAUUGGACAAUGGGCGAAAGCCUGAUCCAGCAAUGCCGCGUGAGUGAUGAAGGCCUUAGGGUUGUAAAGCUCUUUUACCCGGGAUGAUAAUGACAGUACCGGGAGAAUAAGCUCCGGCUAACUCCGUG
rnacentral:rRNA from 1 species